CCUACGGGCGGCAGCAGUAGGGAAUAUUGCUCAAUGGGGGAAACCCUGAAGCAGCAACGCCGCGUGGAGGAUGAAGGUUUUCGGAUUGUAAACUCCUUUUGUUAGAGAAGAUAAUGACGGUAUCUAACGAAUAAGCACCGGCUAACUCCGUGCCAGCAGCCGCGGUAAUACGGAGGGUGCAAGCGUUACUCGGAAUCACUGGGCGUAAAGGGCGCGUAGGCGGGAUAGCAAGUCAGAUGUGAAAUCCUAUGGCUUAACCAUAGAACUGCAUUUGAAACUGUUAGUCUAGAGUAUGGGAGAGGUAGGUGGAAUUCUUGGUGUAGGGGUAAAAUCCGUAGAGAUCAAGAGGAAUACUCAUUGCGAAGGCGACCUGCUAGAACAUAACUGACGCUGAUGCGCGAAAGCGUGGGGAGCAAACAGGAUUAGAUACCCCAGUAGUC
rnacentral:rRNA from 1 species